GUUUAGUAUUUUGCAUGUUUUGUUUGAUAAUUUGUUUACAGUUUAGUGCAAACUAUGGUCACGAUCGGUGUUAUUGUUGGUUGUUAAAAUAUUGUGAGUGCUCUAUACGCAAAUGAAUAUUCAAGAUGUUAUAUUCUAAAAGAUAUUAGUGGAUGCAGAUAAGAGUGUUUAGUGAGUGCUAUGUUUGAAUAUUGCAAGUGAAAACACAGCCUAUCGAUGUAAUGCGCCGAUAAAUUAUCAUGACUCCAUUGAUGUAAUGCGCUUAAAAACUGCAAUGGCUCCGAAUACAUGAUUACCAGAUAACAAAUCCUGGCGCAGCUUACGUGUGUUCUUCAAUAACGUCGCAAGCUACAGUGGCUGUUGAUAAUUUUUGCAAGUUCUACACCUACAGGAUUCAGUUAUCUGGGCAUUAUAGAUACCCUAUAAUCACCUACGAAGUUAUUUAGGUAUAUUUAUUAAAACCAUUAUGCAAGGUGUGGCAAAAAGUGUAUACUAAGCUGAAAGCUACAUGUGCAGCAUGGUAUAUCUAAGCCCGAAACUGAAAACAGAAUUUAAAUAUUCGCGAAAAAAAUAUAUCAUUUUUCAUAGAAACU